GCCGUAUGGGUAGACCUCCCACCCUUGUGUAUUAUUACUUUGUUGCUUUGGCGAGCUGCCUUCGGGCCUUGAGCUUUCGAGCUCGAGCAUGCUCGCCAGAGGAUAUCAAAACUCUUUUUAUUAAUGUCGUCUGAGUACUAUAUAAUAGUUAAAACUUUCAACAACGGAUCUCUUGGUUCUGGCAUCGAUGAAGAACGCAGCGAAGAACGCACCUUCUGCCCGGGGGGUGGCCUCCCCUUUGUGUAUUAUUCGUUGUUGCUUUGGCGAGCUGCCUUCGGCCUUGAGCUUUCGAGCUGAGCAUGCUCGCCGAGGAUAUCAAACUCUUUUUAUUAA
rnacentral:misc_RNA from 1 species